rnacentral:lncRNA from 1 species
CGGAAUGGCACCAUACUUGGCGGGCGGCCUCCGUGUGCUAAAAAUAGGCCACGGGCACAGCCGCGCCCAAAAAUCAGCCCCCGAAGGUCGGGGUCCCAAGACCCCCCAGCGGAAAAAUGGCCAAAAAACGGAUGGGCUAUAGCCUUGGUGGGGGGUGUGGACGAAGUUCGUCCGCGGGACUCGGAAUGGCCCCAAACUUGGCGGGCGGCCUCCGUGUGCCAAAAAUAAGCCACGGGCACAGCCGCGCCCAAAAAUCAGCCCCCGAAGGUCGGGGUCCCAAGACCCCCCAGCGGAAAAAUGGCCAAAAAACGGGGGGGCUAUAGCCUAUGUGGGGGACGUGGCCGAAGUUCGUCCGCGGGACUCGGAAUGGCCCCAGACUUGGCGGGCGGCCUCCGUGUGCCAAAAAUAAGCCACGGGCACAGCCGCGCCCAAAAAUCAGCCCCCGAAGGUUGGGGUCCCAAGACCCCCCAGCGGAAAAGUGUCCAAAAAACGGGUGGGCUAUAGCCUUGGUGGGGGGCGUGGGCGAAGUUCGUCCGCCGGACUCGGAAUGGCCCCAGACAUGGCGGCCGGCCUCCGUGUGCCAAAAAUAGGCCACGGGCACAGACGCACCCAAAAAUCAGCCCCCGAAGGUGGGGGCCCCAGACCCCCCCGCCGAAAAAUGACCAAAAACGGGUGGGCUAUAGCCUUGGUGGGGGGCGUGGGCGAAAAUUCUUCCGCGGGACUCUGAAUGGCCCCAGCCUUGUCGGGGCGGCCUCCGUGUGCCAAAAAUAGGCCACGGGCACAGCCGCGCCCAAAAAUCAGCCCCCGAAGGUCGGGGUCACAAGACCCCCCAGCGGAAAAAAGGCCAAGAAACGCGUGGGCUAUAGCCUUGGUGGGGGGCGUGGGCN